CUACGGGUUGCUCCAGUGGGGAAUAUUGGGCAAUGGGCGCAAGCCUGACCCAGCAACGCCGCGUGAGGGAAGAAUGUCUUCGGAUUGUAAACCUCUGUCCUUGGGGACGAAAAAAAUGACGGUACCCAAGGAGGAAGCUCCGGCUAACUACGUGCCAGCAGCCGCGGUAAUACGUAGGGAGCAAGCGUUGUCCGGAAUUAUUGGGCGUAAAGGGUGCGUAGGCGGCGCUGUAAGUCAGAUGUGAAAUCCCCGGGCUUAACUCGGGAGUUGCAUUUGAAACUACAGUGCUUGAGUAAAGAAGGGGUAAGUGGAAUUCCUAGUGUAGCGGUGGAAUGCGUGGAUAUUAGGAGGAACACCAGUGGCGAAGGCGACUUACUGGUCUUUUACUGACGCUGAGGCACGAAAGCGUGGGGAGCAAACAGGAUUAGAUACCCCCGUAGUC
rnacentral:rRNA from 1 species